rnacentral:rRNA from 1 species
GACGAACGCUGGCGGCGUGCUUAACACAUGCAAGUCGAACGGAAAGGCCCUGCUUUUGUGGGGUGCUCGAGUGGCGAACGGGUGAGUAGCACGUGAGUAACCUGCCCUUGACUUUGGGAUAACUUCAGGAAACUGGGGCUAAUACCGGAUAGGAGCUCCUGCUGCAUGGUGGGGGUUGGAAAGUUUCGGCGGUUGGGGAUGGACUCGCGGCUUAUCAGCUUGUUGGUGGGGUAGUGGCUUACCAAGGCUUUGACGGGUAGCCGGCCUGAGAGGGUGACCGGCCACAUUGGGACUGAGAUACGGCCCAGACUCCUACGGGAGGCAGCAGUGGGGAAUAUUGCACAAUGGGCGGAAGCCGGAUGCAGCAACGCCGCGUGCGGGAUGACGGCCUUCUGGUUGUAAACCGCUUUCGCCUGUGACGAAGCGUGAGUGACGGUAAUGGGUAAAGAAGCACCGGCUAACUACGU